AGCUCAUAUAAGGUAAAAGGCAGAGUGGCCUCUGUGGCCAGGGAGCCGCAGGCAAGGGACUAAGGGGAGGGGGGCUCAGUGCCAGCUGCUUAAAAAUGCCCCUGUGGCAGCGAGGGGCACCAGAGGCUGGGUCUAAUUAGUUGAGAAGCAGUGACACCCCCAACCACUCCCCAAACAGGCUGGCUCCCGUCUCCAGGCCCCAAGGAGCCACACCUGGACCAGACCCCAGGAAAGGCAAGGGCGCUAGCUGGUGGGAGCCACCCCGCCAUGCUGAUGUCAGAGAAGCAAGAACUCUGGAGAAGCAGCCUCCUGGGACCAGAGGAGGGCCAGCAGCAGGCAGCCCGGAGACAGAACUCUCACCCACGCCUCUCCAAGCCUCCCAACAGAAGACAGAGGUCCCCCACAGCCAGAGACAUUUCCUGAAGACAUGGGGAACACAGAGGCAGAAACAGCCCAUCCACCCAGGAGCUGUCCCCCACACUGCCGGGAGCCGGCACCCAGAGCCGCCAGGUAAAACUGAGGCCACCUGGUUCAACAUCACCUUUCACAGAAGGGGAAGCAGCCACAGAAAGAAGGGCCUCGUUAAGAAGUGGAACCUGGGACCCCCAAGCGGUGUCUCUCAUCCUGACUGGGGAUCCAGAGUAGGAGGGAGCCUUUGGUGGGGUUGGAGUCCCGCCACAGGCCACCAGAGCGGAGCAGCGCAGCGCCCUGUCUCCCAGCCUGAGGUGCAGUGCUGCAUCUCUGGUCAGUUGGGAGUCUGAGAUGAAGCACUGUAGCUCAGGAAGAGAGAAGUUGUUCUGCAGCCAUCAGCCUGGAAGUGCCUGGCUGGUGGGCCUUCUUGCAGUAGCUUCCCCUGGAGAAGAGGAAAAGCAAACCUUCAUUGAGACCCAAGCGGUCUCUCCUGUGCUCUGUGACAAUAAUAAAGUUCCAGCCCUUGGCAAAAAAAAAA
rnacentral:lncRNA from 1 species